rnacentral:rRNA from 1 species
GGAGUCUAGCAUGUGCGCGAGUCAUUGGGACUCUGAUAAACCUAAAGGCGAAAUGAAAGUGAAAGGUCGCGCUUCGCGCGCGACCGAGGGAGGAUGGGCCGCGUUCGCCGCGGCCUCGCACUCCCGGGGCGUUUCCAUCUCAUUGCGAGAAGAGGCGCACCCAGAGCGUACACGCUGGGACCCGAAAGAUGGUGAACUAUGCCUGGUCAGGACGAAGUCAGGGGAAACCCUGAUGGAGGUCCGUAGCGAUUCUGACGUGCAAAUCGAUCGUCGGAACUGGGUAUGGGGGCGAAAGACCAAUCGAACGAUCUAGUAGCUGGUUCCCUCCGAAGUUUCCCUCAGGAUAGCUGGCGCUCGCUUUGCGAGUCUCAUCCGGUAAAGCGAAUGAUUAGAGGCAUUGGGGUCGAAACGGCCUCAACCUAUUCUCAAACUUUAAAUGGGUGAGAUCUCCGGCUUGCUUAAAUUGUGAAGCCGCGAGAUGAGGAUCAGAGUGCCAAGUGGGCCACUUUUGGUAAGCAGAACUGGCGCUGUGGGAUGAACCAAACGUAGAGUUAAAGCGCCUAAAUCGACGCUUAUGGGAUACCAUGAAAGGCGUUGGUAACUUAAGACAGCAGGACGGUGGCCAUGGAA